rnacentral:sRNA from 1 species
GCUGUCUCCGAAACCAAAGAAGAAGAAAAAAA